GGCCGGGAUGAGUCAUACACUGAGUUUAUCAGUUGCCUUACAAGUGCGGCUGAAAGGAUAGCUGGGGAAUCAGAAGAAAGUGCUUUUGUAAAACAUCUGGCCUUUGAAAAUGCUAAUUCCGCCUGCCAAGAAGCAAUUAGACCCCACCUGCAAAGCACCCUUUCAGAUUAUAUUAACAAGGGAAACAGAAUUGCCCUAAGGGCCUUUUCUUAUCAGUUUGAGUAUUAGUAUACCAAAAACAGUGUUGGAAGAGAUUUCUAAAUUGACAGUAGCAGCCUGGAGAAAGCUUCCAGGAGCAGGAGGUACAACCACUGUUCUUUCUAGAAUUAGACAAAAACAAGAAGAACCAUAUAAAAAUUUUGUAACAAGAUUAGAAAAAGCAUUGCAAAGGAUAAUGCCUUCAUCUGAGGAAUCAGAAAUUUUAUUAAAACAAUUGGCUUGGGAAAAUGCUAACUUUCUAUGUAAAGAAUUAAUAAGGCCAAUUAAGAAAACAGGCUCUUUACAGGAUUAUGUAAAAGCCUGCAUAGACGCCUCACCAGCAGUGGUCCAAGGAAUGGCCUAUGCUGCAGCAGUGAAGGGACAGCAUUAUGUAAUUAACCUUUUUCCGGCUUUAGAGACUGCUCUGUUAUCUGGAAGCUCAAAAAAUUCUACUUUUAUUACAAAAAUUACAAAGCAUGAUUAUUAACAGGCAAAAUAAAUGUUUUAUUAGUCAUAUAAGAGGACAUACUAAUUUGCCAGGUAUGCUAUCUUUAGGUAGUAAAAUAGCAGACUUAUUAACCAAAGAACAAUUUAUGGGAAACUCUCUGAGAAGGGAGCUGCCCGACAAUAUUCUGAAGACUCCCCAGCAGGGGACAUGCAUCAGCCUCGCUGUAGGGCAGUACCAGCAAACUCCCUGAGAGGGUACUUGCAUCAGUCCCGGCUGUUUCUGCUUCCCCAGUCUGACCUCCGGUUUCUCCUCCCACACCACCAGCAAGGACGCUGAAGCUCCCAUCUGGAUUCCUGACAGGCUCAUUAAGCCCUACAAUCAAGCCCAGGGAAAGGAGGAAUCGAGGAAGACUGAAAUCUGUGAUGCAUAAACUACAGAAGCUGAGUGUGUCUCCUCCGCAGGCCCAAUCUACACAAGAAGCCAGCCUGCCCACCU